CAGCCGCCGCGGUAAUACGUAGGUGGCAAGCGUUGUCCGGAAUUAUUGGGCGUAAAGGGCUCGCAGGCGGUUUCUUAAGUCUGAUGUGAAAGCCCCCGGCUCAACCGGGGAGGGUCAUUGGAAACUGGGAAACUUGAGUGCAGAAGAGGAGAGUGGAAUUCCACGUGUAGCGGUGAAAUGCGUAGAGAUGUGGAGGAACACCGGUGGCGAAAGCGGCUCUCUGGUCUGUAACUGACGCUGAGGCUCGAAAGCGUGGGGAGCGAACAGGAUUAGAUACCCGCGUAGUCCCUGUCUCUUAUAC
rnacentral:rRNA from 1 species